rnacentral:rRNA from 1 species
GAGACAGCAGUAGCCGCGGGAAUGCGUAGGUCCCGAGCGUUGUCCGGAUUUAUUGGGCGUAAAGCGAGCGCAGGCGGUUAGAUAAGUCUGAAGUUAAAGGCUGUGGCUUAACCAUAGUACGCUUUGGAAACUGUUUAACUUGAGUGCAAGAGGGGAGAGUGGAAUUCCAUGUGUAGCGGUGAAAUGCGUAGAUAUAUGGAGGAACACCGGUGGCGAAAGCGGCUCUCUGGCUUGUAACUGACGCUGAGGCUCGAAAGCGUGGGGAGCAAACAGGAUUAGAUACCCCCGUAGUCCCUGUCUCUUAUACA